CCGCCUCCAUCAUCCCACAUGGAUCAGGAGGACGCCCACUGCACAGAGCUGUGAUGAGCAUGAACAGAAGAUGGCAAGAGCUCAUGCCAAGGUGCUGAGCACGGGGCCUAUGGAGUGCUUCUUUCUGCUGUGGCUGACAUCAUCAAACAAGAGGCUGAUACGGCUUCCAGACAGAAAGACACUCGCUGAGACACUGAAACGUGUGACCUAGGAGCCUGUGAAGGUCGAAGAACAAACUAACAAACCAAACGGUUUUGUUUGUUUUUCAAACACCACAGCCUGUUUUUCUUUUUUUUCUUUUUCUUUUUUUUUUUAGACGGAGUCUCGCUCAGGCCGGGCUGGAGUGCAGUGGUCGGAUCUCAGCUCACUGCAAGCCCCGCCUCCUGGGUUUACGCCAUUCUCUUGCCUCAGCCUCCAGAGUAGCUGGGACUACAGUCACCCGCCACUUGCCCGGCUAGUUUUUUUGUAUUUUUUAGUAAAGGCGUGGUUUCACCGUGUUAGCCAGGAUGGUCUCGAUCUCCUGACCUCAUGAUCCGCCUGUCACGGCCUCCCAAAGUGCUGGGAUUACAGGAUGGAGCCACCGUGCCCGGCCCUUUUUUCUUCCAAGAGGAGGGGCUGCGCUGCCGGGAGGCAGUGCGUUGAGCUCUAAUGGAUGGAACACUGCUAACCAGCGAAGGUGGAGAGAGGGCACCCGUCUGAGAGGAUGAAGAGGCAGCAAAGCACAGCUGGCCUCGGGGAACCGGAAGCCACAGAGACAUCAGGCUGGGUGCUGCUGUCUGCGGGCCACUGUCUGGGGGACUGUACUGGGCCUGGAGGGACAUCCCUGACACUCUCCACCGGAUGCCAGGGGCACCCCCAGCCCCAGGUGACAUCUGUUCCCGAGCUGUUCCUGACGGCCAUGAAGCUCAGCCACGAUGAUAGAGGAGCCAGGUAUUUACACCUGGCCAGAGAAGACACGAAUAAUCUGUUCAGGUACGUGGUGCAUUGUAAGAACAUGGUCUUGAAUGUUUUAUUUAAAUCAAGGAUGUCCAAUCUUUCGGCUUCCCUGUGCCACAUUAGAAGAACAACUGUCUUAGGCCACACACUAAAUACACUAACACUAAGGACAGUUGACGAGCUAAAAAAAAAUAAAUAG
rnacentral:lncRNA from 1 species